AGGAGGUGGUCUUUAAUCCGAACUUGAGGAGGUUAAUGAAUGUCUUAAGGUCCGGAGACCUGCACACUGUUUCUAAUUCAGGGGGGAGAUUGCUGUGUUAACUUGUGGACCACGGAAUCCUUCUGCUAUCUUUCCUGCAUCUUAGAGCAGACAUCAGAGCAGACCCUUGGCAUCUGUGACUCCUUCCAGAGUUCUUCCUUAGAGCCCUUGAGCCUGGCUGUUAACUAUCACCUCAGCCAGGUUGCAAAGAACUCUCAGGAUAAAGCUCAAGAUAAGGAAAGGAAACAUCAAAGCUGAGCACCAACUCACUCCAAACCACAGGGCGUAAACACACGCGCGCACAAGCACGCUCUUGGGUGUGCCCGGGACUCGGAAGCCUCCUUGAUUGAUUCUGAAACGCGGCAGGCAGAGGUGCAUUUGCACGGGGAGGUACAAAUGUUGAGCGGAGCAGCACCUGCCGUGAUCUGUGAUCCGCCAUUUGUCUUGAAAGGGCCAACAAGAUAGAGGCCUGAACGCCUGAACUUUUGGAGGACUCCAAACAGCAGGAGCACCCUGGUGGAACAAAGGGCCACCGACAUAUGUGAGGGCUGCAUUUUGUCAACUAGGUAUCAUGUUCCGGCCACAGCAUGACAGACAAAUGCCAGGCCAGAUGAAGAGAUAUAAUCUGCUCAACCCAAUGCAUCUGUACCUGGAUCGUGUGAUGGGGGCAGAUGCUGAUUCAAUAUGGAUGCAGGUGCAGAAAAAAGGAAGAAAGAACCCAGACGCUGAAGCCAAGCGCUGCAGAAGUCCAGAGCCUCCCGGGGAGGCUCGGUUUUCGAAGUUACUGAUCCGAACUUUUAUGCGGUCUAAGUGCUUGUCUAUGCAGUGCCGUGUUGAGGCGUUCUCACAGAGGAAGCCCGAGAGGAUCUUUGGCAUUUGGAAACUAAAAGCUUCUGUACGAACACUAACUAGUCCUUGUAUCCUCCUCAUGUCGUGGGCCUGUAGUGUGUCCCUGCCUCAAUGGCUGCCAUGUCCACACGUGAUGAUGGGCGUUCUUGGUGCUCCUUGCCAUAACUGGAUCAUCAGGGGAGGUGCGGGGUUGGUGACUUGUCUGCCUCACUAGCACCGGGAACUCGACUUUGCUUAUUAAGGCAGCCUAUGUUUGUGUCACACAAGAGGUUUGGUGCUCUGCCCUUAUCCUCGAGAAUGUCCAAUAUCGACCAUACUGAAUAGUUCUUAAGAUCGGAAUUCAGAAACUUC